UACGUAGGGGGCGAGCGUUGUCCGGAUUUAUUGGGCGUAAAGAGCUCGUAGGCGGCUCGGUAAGUCGGGUGUGAAAACUCUAGGCUCAACCUAGAGACGCCACCUGAUACUGCUGUGGCUAGAGUCCGGUAGGGGAGCAUGGAACUCCUGGUGUAGCGGUGAAAUGCGCAGAUAUCAGGAGGAACACCAGUGGCGAAGGCGGUGCUCUGGGCCGGUACUGACGCUGAGGAGCGAAAGCGUGGGGAGCAAACAGG
rnacentral:rRNA from 1 species